CGGACGGGGCCCGCACAAGCGGUGGAGUAUGUGGUUUAAUUCGAUGCAACGCGAAGAACCUUACCUGGUCUUGACAUCCCGGAGACCCUUAGGAAACUAGGGGGUGCUUCCAUCUGGAAGAAUCUGGAGACAGGUGCUGCAUGGCUGUCGUCAGCUCGUGUCGUGAGAUGUUGGGUUAAGUCCCGCAACGAGCGCAACCCUUGCCUUUAGUUGCCAGCAGUUCGGCUGGGCACUCUAAAGGGACUGCCGGUGUUAAACCGGAGGAAGGUGGGGAUGACGUCAAGUCCUCAUGGCCUUUAUGACCAGGGCUACACACGUACUACAAUGGCCGAUACAAAGGGCAGCGACACUGCGAGGUGAAGCCAAUCCCGUAAAAUCGGUCUCAGUCCGGAUUGGAGUCUGCAACUCGACUCCAUGAAGUUGGAAUCGCUAGUAAUCGUGGAUCAGCAUGCCACGGUGAAUACGUUCCCGGGCCUU
rnacentral:rRNA from 1 species